UAUGACCCAAUAUACCAGGCAGGUAGGAUCAUAGAACGAUACAUUCUAUGGGAAGGGGGCUCUAUGACCCAAUAUACCAGGCAGGUAGGAUCAUAGAACGAUACAUUAUAUGGGAAGGGGGCUCUAUGACCCAAUAUACCAGGCAGGUAGGAUCAUAGAACGAUACAUUCUAUGGGAAGGUGGCUCUAUGACCCAAUAUACCAGGCAGGUAGGAUCAUAGAACGAUACAUUCUAUGGGAAGGGGGCUCUAUGACCCAAUAUACCAGGCAGGUAGGAUCAUAGAACGAUACAUUCUAUGGGAAGGGGGCUCUAUGACCCAAUAUACCAGGCAGGUAGGAUCAUAGAACGAUACAUUCUAUGGGAAGGUGGCUCUAUGACCCAAUAUACCAGGCAGGUAGGAUCAUAGAACGAUACAUUCUAUGGGAAGGUGGCUCUAUGACCCAAUAUACCAGGCAGGUAGGAUCAUAGAACGAUACAUUCUAUGGGAAGGUGGCUCUAUGACCCAAUAUACCAGGCAGGUAGGAUCAUAGAACGAUACAUUCUAUGGGAAGGGGGCUCUAUGACCCAAUAUACCAGGCAGGUAGGAUCAUAGAACGAUACAUUCUAUGGGAAGGGGGCUCUAUGACCCAAUAUACCAGGCAGGUAGGAUCAUAGAACGAUAC